rnacentral:rRNA from 1 species
AUUGAACGCUGGCGGCAGGCCUAACACAUGCAAGUCGAACGGUAACAGGAAGCAGCUUGCUGCUUUGCUGACGAGUGGCGGACGGGUGAGUAAUGUCUGGGAAACUGCCCGAUGGAGGGGGAUAACUACUGGAAACGGUAGCUAAUACCGCAUAACGUCGCAAGACCAAAGAGGGGGACCUUAGGGCCUCUUGCCAUCGGAUGUGCCCAGAUGGGAUUAGCUAGUAGGUGGGGUAACGGCGCACCUAGGCGACGAUCCCUAGCUGGUCUGAGAGGAUGACCAGCCACACUGGAACUGAGACACGGUCCAGACUCCUACGGGAGGCAGCAGUGGGGAAUAUUGCACAAUGGGCGCAAGCCUGAUGCAGCCAUGCCGCGUGUAUGAAGAAGGCCUUCGGGUUGUAAAGUACUUUCAGCGGGGAGGAAGGGAGUAAAGUUAAUACCUUUGCUCAUUGACGUUACCCGCAGAAGAAGCACCGGCUAACUCCGUG